AAAACAAAACAAUUGCAAACUUCACAUCUCUUGUUUUAUGCAAGAUCCUGAUCACAAAUUAAAUCAUAAUGAUUUUUGUUUCUAUUAAAAAGUAAACAUAUGUACAAAGAAAGGAGAGGCAAAAGGGAGGGGUUAUGGAAGGAGCUGGGGGAGUACGACACGGGCUGGAGGCAGAUAGACAGACAGUAGAGACAGACAGACAGUAGAGACAGACAGACAGGCAGACAGACAGGCAGUAGAGACAGACAGACAGACAGGCAGUAGAGACAGACAUGUGCUCUACGGUAACACUGCUCUCCAGACAGACAGCAGAGAGAGGCAGACAGACAGACAGGUGCUCUACGGUAACACUGCUCUCCAGACAGACAGCAGAGAGAGGCAGACAGACAGUAGGAGACAGACAGACAGACAGGCAGUAGAGACAGACAGACAGACAGGCAGUAGAGACAGACAGGUGCUCGACGGUAACACUGCUCUCCAGACAGACAGCAGAGAGAGGCAGACAGACAGUAGGAGACAGACAGACAGACAGACAGGCAGUAGAGACAGACAGACAGACAGGCAGUAGAGACAGACAGGUGCUCUACGGUUCACUUCCACACUUUGACAAUGCCGUCGCGGGAGGACGUGACGAUGAAGCCCUGCGUGGUCUGGAAGGUGGCGAUGUCCGU